AUUGAACGCUGGCGGCACGCUUAACACAUGCAAGUCGAACGGCAGCAGCAUUGGGGUAACCCAAUGGCUGGCGAGUGGCGGACGGGUGAGUAAUACGUAGGAAUCUGCCUUAGAGCGGGGGAUAACUCGGGGAAACUCGAGCUAAGACCGCAUACGCUCCAUGAUGAGAAUUAUGGAGGAAAAGUACCUUUCGGGGUACGUGCUCUGAGAUGAGCCUACGACGGAUUAGCUAGUUGGUGGGGUAAAGGCCUACCAAGGCGAUGAUCCGUAGCUGGUCUGAGAGGAUGGUCAGCCACACUGGGACUGAGACACGGCCCAGACUCCUACGGGAGGCAGCAGUGGGGAAUAUUGGACAA
rnacentral:rRNA from 1 species